UCCCGUUGAUCCUGCGGGAGAUUGCUGCUAUUAGAUUUCCACUUAGCCAUGCAAGUCUAGGGGGCUCUUCGGAGUCACCGGCAAAAUGCUCAGUAACACGUCAAUAAUCUGCCCUAUGGUAGAAGAUAACCUCGGGAAACUGAGGCUAAUAUUCUAUAGAAGAUCGAGGCUGGAAUGCGCUUUCUUUCAAAGAUUUAUCGCCAUAGGAUGAGUUGGCGGCUGAUUAGCUAGUUGGUGAGGUAAAGGCUCACCAAGGCUUAGAUCAGUAGGGGCCUUGAGUGAGGUAGCCCCGAGAAGGACACUGAGAUAAGGGUCCUAGCCCUAAGGGGUGCAGCAGGCGGGAAACCUUUACAAUGCACGAAAGUGCGAUAAGGGGAAUCUAAGUGCUUGCCUACGGGUGAGCUUUUGUCAAGUGUAAAAAUCUUGACGAAUAAGUGGUGGGUAAGACCGGUGCCAGCAGCCGCGGUAACCCCGGCGCCACGAGUGGCAAUCACGUUUAUUAGGCCUAAAGCGUCCGUAGCUGAUUUUCUCAGUCCUUUGUUAAAUCGUCUGGCUUAACCAGGCGGCUGCAAGGGAUACUGGAAGGUUUGGGAUCGGGAGGAGCCAGAAGUACUCCUUGGGUAGCGGUAAAAUGUGAUAAUCCUUGGAGGACUACCUGUGGCGAAGGCGUCUGGCUAGAACGAAUCCGACAGUGAGGGACGAAAGCUAGGGGAGCGAAAGGGAUUAGAUACCCCCGUAGUCCUAGCUGUAAACUCUGCGAACUAUGUGUUGCAUGUUCUUCGUGGACAUGCAGUGCCGGAGCGAAGGUGUUAAGUUCGCCGCCUGGGAAGUACGAUCGCAAGAUUGAAACUUAAAGGAAUUGGCGGGGGCGCGCUACAAGGAGUGGAACGUGCGGUUUAAUCAGAUUUUACACCGUGAACCUCACCAGGAACGACGGCAGGAUGAAGGUCAGAUUAAAGGUUUUACCUGACAAGCCGAGAGGAGGUGCAUGGCCGCCGUCAGUUCGUGCCGUAAGGUGUCCAGUUAAGUCUGGCAACGAACAAGACCUGUAUCUAUAGUUGCUAUCGAGUUCUCCGGAAUGUCCGAGCACACUAUAGAGACUGCCUUGGAAACAAGGAGGAGGGUGCAGGCAACGGUAGGUGGUAUGCCCUGAAUUUCCUGGGCGACACGCGCGUUACAAUGGCAGGGACAAUGGGAUACAACUCCGAAAGGAGAAGUUAACCCUCGAAACCCUGUCUUAAUCCGGAUUGAGGGCUGCAAUUCGCCCUCACGAAGCUGGAAUUCCUAGUAAUCGGGUGUCAACAACGCCCGGUGAAUACGUCAACGUGCCUUGCACACACCGCCCGUCAUUCCAGCCGAGCAGGGUUUAAGUGAAGUUUGUUCAUCGGACAUCCUGAACUUAAGCUUAGCAAGGAGGGACAAGUCGUCACAAGGUA
rnacentral:rRNA from 1 species